rnacentral:rRNA from 1 species
UACGAAGGGGGCUAGCGUUGCUCGGAAUCACUGGGCGUAAAGCGCACGUAGGCGGAUUCCUAAGUCGGGGGUGAAAUCCUGGAGCUCAACUCCAGAACUGCCUUCGAUACUGGGAAUCUUGAGUCCGGAAGAGGUGAGUGGAACUGCGAGUGUAGAGGUGAAAUUCGUAGAUAUUCGCAAGAACACCAGUGGCGAAGGCGGCUCACUGGCCCGGUACUGACGCUGAGGAGUGAAAGCGUGGGUAGCAAACGAGGA